CUCGCCGUCCCCGCCUUUCUCUCCUCCUCCUCCCCCUCCUCGGCCUCCUCCUCCCGGUUCAGCCUUUGUCGCGCGGCGGGGGGCGCCCGGCCCGCGGCUCCCCGGUCAGAGCGGUAGCACCGCGAGACUUGGGGCUGCGGACGGCGGGACCCCCAAGUUGGGCGCCGGCGACUGGCGGGGGCAGAGGGCCGGGCGCUCCCUCGGGCUCGCGCAGGUGCUCGGGCCUGGCCGGGCUGGGACCGCAGGCGCCUCUCCCGCGCUCGCCUAGCCCGGGCUGCCCCCGCACGCCCACGCCCCAGGUGUCCGGGCGCGCUUUACCCAGGGGCGCCGUGCCCAGGCCAGGAGGCCAGGGCGGAGCGGGUGAGGGAGAAGCCCAUUUAGAUUCAGAGGGAAGCCGGUCCUGGGAGACGGCCGCGAGGAACAAAGGCGCCCCAGUGCUGCCCACUUAGCAUGCCAGAGCCGCGCUGCUCGGCUCCCAGGCCGGGGACACGGCCCGGUGUUAAGCGGAGGGUGCCCGACCGCGGGAAUUCCUAAGGCCACGCGCACCUCCAAGGCCACCGCCGCACACAGCUUCGGAGUGCACAGUGCACACGCCCAGGCACAGGCAGCCGGCCCGAGAAAUUGUGAAUGUCUUGGCUUUGAGUUUAUCUGCGUAUCCUGGCGAAGUUUGGAUGCAGAGAACUUGGAGCUGUUGUUUUCUACCAGACACUAGGAUCCCUGAGAGAGCUUCCUACUUCUUGCACUGGUCCAUUGCAAUAAAAGACAGGCGACACGUGGACAACUGCUAGACACUUCCCAAGUCUGGAGUCGGCCGUGCUGUGGUUUUUGGUGUCAUUCUUUCGCGCUGCACACACCUUCCUCCACGUGGUGAAGAUACAUCGCUCCUGACAGCCUCAUGCCUGACUGGACACUGAAAAAGAGGUGAAGAGAUGAGGCGAUAGAACAAAAGAACAGAAAGAUAAUGAAGCUGAGACUAACAUAAUUAUGUAUGCAGCCACAAAUGGAGCACAAAGCAAUUACUGCUUGUGGGAAUUUGAGAGAUGCUCUUUGAAGAGGUGUGAGGGAAUCAGUAAUACUUGCAGUGACUUUUAAGGAGGUGGAGUGUGCUGAUGAAGAUGCCACAAAGAACUGAUGGGAAGUUAUUCCUCUCCCCAACUGCUAUUGUAUCCUUCCUGUAGUGCUGUCUCUGCUUUUUGCAUCUUGCCCAGUAUAUUAUGACACAAAUAAAAAUUCUCUUUUCAUCAUCUUGCAACUUGUAAGAGGCCUGAGAGAAUUCUUGUGCAGGGCCCUUAGAACAC
rnacentral:lncRNA from 1 species